AUUGAACGCUGGCGGCAUGCUUUACACAUGCAAGUCGAACGGCAGCGCGGGCUUCGGCCUGGCGGCGAGUGGCGAACGGGUGAGUAAUACAUCGGAACGUGCCCAGUAGUGGGGGAUAGCUUGGCGAAAGCCGGAUUAAUACCGCAUACGACCUGAGGGUGAAAGCGGGGGAUCUUCGGACCUCGCGCUAUUGGAGCGGCCGAUGGCAGAUUAGCUAGUUGGUGGGGUAAAGGCCUACCAAGGCGACGAUCUGUAGCUGGUCUGAGAGGACGACCAGCCAAACCGGGAAUGAGAAAACGGCCAGAAUCCUAAGGGGAGGCAGAGGGGGGAAAUUUUGAACAAGGGGGGAAAGCCGAAUCAAGAAAGGCGGGGGGGGUGAGGAAGGCCUUCGGGUUGUAAAGAAUUUUUGGCGGGAAGAAAAGGACUGUGCCAAUACCACGGUUCGAUGACGGUACCCGCAGAAUAAGCACCGGCUGACUACGUG
rnacentral:rRNA from 1 species